rnacentral:rRNA from 1 species
GUGGGGAAUAUUGGACAAUGGGGGCAACCCUGAUCCAGCCAUGCCGCGUGUGUGAAGAAGGCCUUUUGGUUGUAAAGCACUUUAAGCGAGGAGGAGGCUUACCUGGUUAAUACCUGGGAUAAGUGGACGUUACUCGCAGAAUAAGCACCGGCUAACUCUGUGCCAGCAGCCGCGGUAAUACAGAGGGUGCAAGCGUUAAUCGGAUUUACUGGGCGUAAAGCGCGCGUAGGUGGCUAAUUAAGUCAAAUGUGAAAUCCCCGAGCUUAACUUGGGAAUUGCAUUCGAUACUGGUUAGCUAGAGUAUGGGAGAGGAUGGUAGAAUUCCAGGUGUAGCGGUGAAAUGCGUAGAGAUCUGGAGGAAUACCGAUGGCGAAGGCAGCCAUCUGGCCUAAUACUGACACUGAGGUGCGAAAGCAUGGGGAGCAAACAGGAUUAGAUACCCGUGUAGUCC